UGUGAUUUCCUUUUACAACUUGCAGUCAUUCUAGAAUGUAAAAAGGGUAAUUUACAUUUCUUUGACAAUUUUUCCUUUUACUCCUUGAUAUUCUGUGUUUGGCACAAAUUACUUGCAUUUUAAAUAUUGCUAAGCCAUAAUAUUAAUUUCUCUCCACGAUUAUUGUUUUCCAAGAUAUAACUAAGACCUUCACGUGUUUUGGUUUGCCAGAAACAGCAUAAUGGCUUAUGUCAUGAUUUAUUGUUUUAUUGCCCAGAAGGAUUAUGGCAAAAUAAAAUCAAAACUGAAAACAUUUCUAAUAAAAGAUUAAAGAUUUAAAUUGUGAAUAUAAGUAAUUUUGUAACUUCAUGAUCAAUACUGAAAAGGAAAAAAACUGUUACUCAAGUUAUUUCAUGUUUUUAAACAAUUCUUUUCAUGAUAUUUAAAUGUUGUGUUUAAAUGACACUGAAAUCAAGGAUAUUGGAGGCAUAAAGAAAUGUACAGAUAAAAUAUACAAUGUGACCAAAAAAAAAAAUGUUUGAUACUCAUUUAGGAGGUUGCACAAAUUAUGCAAAUGAAAUAUGAAAGCUGUAAAAUGAAAAUAAGUAGUUUUUUUCGAUCUUGAAAUUCACCAUUCAUGCUAACUGACUCGGUAAAUUCUCAGAUGGUCCUUUGGUAGGAUGUAUUUUCCCUGAAUUUAGUGUCUGCCAUUCACUUUAAGAAACUAUCAGUUUUAUCACAUGAAAUUUAAGAACAAUCAUUUUUAAACAAUAAUUUGUUCCUUUAGUUUGAGUUGAAUAGUUUUUUGUGAAAAUUUGCAAAGAGAAAGUUAAAGAGCAGUGUUAGUCAUAUUUUCAGCUUGAUACAGGUUUCAUACAACAUUACUUAUCAUUCAUUUUGAUGUAUAUAAUAGUUUAGCAUUAAAAAAAUAAUCCUAAGUUAUUGUACCUGAAGAUUUCUAUCAUAUCAAAUGAAGUGUAGUUAGAAAAUGCCUUCAAACAAAACCAAAACAAGUUGAAAAUAGGAAGGUUAGUCUGACAUGUGAAUAACUGAUUAACAAAUUUUAUUAAUUGCCCAGCUAUAGGGAUACCCUAAGUUACUUUUCCGAUGUAUGUAGAAUAUUGUGUAUUUCUGUACAUUUUGUCUUGGUAUACAAAGAAGACACCCCUGAUGAUAUACAUUUCUUAGUAUUUACCUGUUGUGGAAAAGGUCGCACUGACUACAUGAUUUAGGUUGUGGCAGUAAGUGUUGCUGAUUGAUUGCUCUCCUUAUAAAUACUUCAAUGUCAGGGGUAAUUGUACCAGAACUCUAGAAUCUCUGACUUGGGUGUUUGGCCCAUGCAGCACAUAAGGUGCUAUUCAUGUUGAAAAUCACAAUUUCUAACUAUGGUUGAACCUUGUUAUAACAAAAACCAAGAGACCCAGCAAAAUAAUUCAUAAUAACAGAAGUUAGUUAUAACUGAUUGGCCACUAGGAGUGCUUUCGUGAAAGAUAAAUAUGGCUUCCAUAAUUACAAUGCAAAGUUGUUGUUUUUUUCACACAUCACAUAUGCUAAAAUUAAGCUUUCCAUCUUUUCUAUUUCCAAUUAAAGAGGAUAACUUACAUCAUCAAUAUGUCGAAACAGUAUUAUGUCACUGUACUUGAAAAGGCAAAAUCUUACUUAAAAAAAAGUCCAUAAUCUUGGUUUGAUGGCGACCUGAAAAUGAGUAGAAAACAUAAUGUCUUCAAUCUGCAACAGUAGAAUUAAAAAUAGUUGUUUGAACAAUUUCAUGAGACUUGAGGUAACUGUAUAGCUUUACUAGGCAAUCCAUGACUUAUGACGUUGAAGGCACUUCUUUUGCAAUGAUGAGGAAUAAUGGAGCAAUGUUUUCAGUAUCAUCUUCAUCUUGUUUGUCAUAUUGUUGUUCCUGUAUGGAAGCAACAGUGUCAUCAUCAGAUGGUAACUUGCAAACUUCAGUUUCAUUGUCUGAACCCACAAAGUCCGAAAAUGACAUCUCGGGUAACUUGAGGCAUCGAGACAGGCUAUUCCAGAGACAGCUGACUUCAUCGAGGAUCUCCACCAAAGUUUCACAAGAAUUAUUAUUAUUGGCACUGGCAUCGAUCUCUCGUUCCACGCCGAGACUACCAGUAACUUGCGCAUUGGCAAAUGAUGCUAUAGGGAAGCAGUUAGCAAUAGUCGACUUUGUAACUCUCUGUGACGAGAGAUGUAGCACAUUAGUUGCAUCUUUGAUUAUUGAGAGAGUUUCUCCAGAAUUGAGAAACACCAGCAUUUUCUGUACGACCCAUUUCAGGUAAAAGCUCUUGAAAUUUCUGAUCAUGCCCUGGUCCAUCGGCUGCUGUUUUGAUGUUGUAUUGGGCAGGAGAAACACAACUUUUAUUGACUUCAGGUUUUAUAUGGCUGGGUAAGAUAGGCAAUUGUUGAUGAGCAUGAGGACUUUUUUUUCUAAUGUUUGAACUUCUUAUUUCCUUUAUGUAUCCAAUCUCUGAAUAAAUCUGUCACACUUUAAUGCUUGCCUGAUAAUUCUUGAAACACUGCAGCUUCUUUGAUUUCUCUAUGAUAAGUAGUGUCAUCAUAGUGAUUCUUUCUUUGUUUUUCUUUCCUCUUGAACAGACUUCAUUCUUGAAUGUUAGUCCUAUCAGGCACAGAAUGAAAAAAUAACCCAGUUUCAUCAGCGUUAAAUAUAUAUCUUGGGUUAUAACCUUCAAUUAUCACUGGUAUAAUGGCAUUGACAUCCAGUCAUCAAACAUCAUUGCUGACAGCCGUAACCUCACCACACAGUGAUUUAAAGAUGAUGCCAUGUUGAGACUUGAAUCUUUCCAGUCAACCAUUGCUGGCUUUGAAGUCGGAAUGCUUCAAUUUUUGUUCCAGUUCUCUGGUUUUUGCUUGGAUAAUUGGCCUGCUGAUUGAAAUAUUCAUUGAACUUUUAACAAUGCUUGCUCAAUAUCGUCCACUGCUGAGAAGUGGAAACAUUUGCAGUUGGAUUCGACUUUGUUGUGUUCAUACAUUUUCAUCAAAAUUGUAGACAAUGUACUGGGCUACAUGUUGAAUUUUCUACAGGCAUCACCAAGAAGAAUUUCAGACUUGAUAGCUUUUAUCAUUUGGACUUUGCAGUCCAACGAUAGAACACACCACUUAAUAGGAACACGAAAUGUUGACAUCUUGAAGAUGAUGCAUGAAGUGCACGUUUCGUUGAAGAAACUGCUUCAAUUUAUCUAAAAUUGUAGAGUAGAUUUAGAAGAAGUCUAAUCUGUUUAGGUUAUUAUUAUUUACAGUGCCUCUAGUUGGAUAGAGAUUUCUGUUCUACAUUUAUACAUGUGCAAAAUUUGUUACUGAUAACUGUAAAAUUUUGAUACUAACUGAAGAAUUAUGAGGAUCAUUUUCCCUAAUAUUUUGUAUUAGAACAAAAUAAAGUAUUUGCUUGCAAGGCAAAAAAAAUUAAUGUUUAAAGAUAAGUUUGAUUGUAAUGUGAAAUUUAAGUUAACAUAUCUAAUAGUUUCAUUCCUGCUUUUUAUGUUAAGGAAAAUGAAUUCAAGGCAUUGGUGAUUAUUUACUUAAUAGGAUGAAGAUACUCAAGUUUUAUUGGCAGCAGAUUUUGAAAUUGGGCAUUUUAUAAAAGAAAGAAUUAUUCCUAAAGCUGUUCUAUAUUUUACUGGGGAAGCAUUACAGGAUGAAGAGUUUGAUGAAGAGGAGGAAGGUGAAGAAGAGGAAGAUGAGGAGAAAGAUAGUGAUGAAGACAAUGAUCCUGAAUAUAAUAAUGAAGUAUAAGAUUCCGAGUUUUUUAGAAAGUAAACUAUUUUAAAACUGGGUCUUUAUUUACAAGGAAGUUCAAGUAAUGUUGUGAAUUAAGUAUGUUUUUGUUUAUCCUUGAAUUAUUUAUGUUAUAGUAAAACUAUUAUAUGAUGAUUUGCCAAUGCUAAAAAGUUUUAGCUAAUUAAUCUUUGUGAAGUCUUGCUAAGUGAAUUUUAUCCAAUAUUAUAUUCCUUGUUCUUACUGUUUUCUAGAUUCUGAGAGGUAAUGAAGUGGGUGUUUAAUGUGGCUUGAUAUUCAGAUCAGUGGUUAAAGCUAUUUGUAAGUUCUCAUACUGAACUCUAUGGAUUAGAGAAGCUUUAAUUUUCAAAAAUUAUUGAUAGUUAGCAAAUCAUAAUGUCUUAUACAGUGGAAUUAAUAUGUAACCAUGGAUCUGCAGUGAAAUGAUUACACAUUAAUGUGUUCAGCUUAAUUUUGGUCAUUUUAAUUUAUAACAUUAUAAAACAAAUUAUUAUUGUUUAUAUCCUGUAAAAGUAAUAUACAAGAGUGAAUGCUUGUCUAGAUUCUUGCUGAAAUUUAGAAACAAUUGAGUUUCAGAUUUUUCAUUCAUCUAAGUUAUUCCAGACAGCAAAUUCAUGCUAAGCUUUUAUAAUGAAUAACAUAACUAAAAGAUAAAAGUUAUUUAAUUUUUAGAUAUUGUAUACUCUAUUUUUAUACUAACUAUACACACAAUAACCAGUUUCUUAAGGUUAUGUGGAAUCUUUUUUUAACCAGUUUAAAUGAUUCUAGUUAAUUGAUAUAACCUAUAACUUUUAUAUUUUAUUUUUUCAUAAGGACUCUUAAGUUGUGUUUUAAAUUAUUUUUUGUACAUUUUCUUAGCAUCAGUAUAGUCUAUUUCCUCAUGUUAUUAUUGUUUAAAUAUUUUAUUGUUUUUACUUUAAAAUGCUUUUCCAAAAUAAAAGUGCAUAGUAAUGCAUUCUGUUAAUUAGCUUCUAACUAGUGAUAAGAAAAGUAUAAAAUAUUUGAGGACACAUUUUAUGGCUAACUUGAAAGCAUGAUAAGAAGCAAAAGGUGGAGAUGGUCUGAUAAUUUUUUUCAAUGUUAUUUGAUAGUGUAGCUGUUAAUAAAAAAAAACCCAUUAGUUUAUAUAUAUUUCUCUGUGUAUGUUUCCUGUUUCAGGCUGUUAAAGCAGCCAAGAAACAUAAACAACAACCGCAUGCCUGUCAACAGCUAUAAAAUGUCAGAAAAACAAGGCUAUUCUCUUGUCUAGAUCCAGGAAGAGGCUGUUUUUCAGACUUUAGCAGUUUAAUGAAUUAGCCUUAGAAUGUGUUGUUUUUUUUAAUAUUCUAAACAUUGAAAAUACUUUUGUAAGAAAAUCAUAUGUUUCUGAUUCUUAUCUGAGUUCUAGGUUGCUUUUCUAACUCUUGUAUAUUGUAUGCUAGAAUUUAAUUUAUUCAGUCUUAAGCUAUAAUAAACUUGUUUGCAUUUUUAUUCAGAUUGAUAUAUGUUGCUCAAGUAAUAAUAGAAUUGCUGUCAUUUCAAGAAUCUCCCCUUGAAAUAUUGGAACCAUUCACUUGCUCCAAACUUGAGACAUGUUGCAGAUUUGUGUAUAUUUUUAUAAAGCUUUUCUCGUGUACUUCAAAAAAGCAAAAAUAAAUUCUGAACUGUGUAACAUCUC